AUCGCUUCUCUGCCUUUUGGCUAAGAUCAAGUGUAAUAUCUGUUCUUAUCAGUUUAACAUAAGUUACAUGGAAAAGGUGAAUGAUGAGAUCCCUGAGUUCUUGGCCACCUCCCCUGGCACAUCUUGGAGACUAUUCCCACACCUG
rnacentral:snRNA from 1 species